rnacentral:rRNA from 1 species
GUGGCUAAUACCGCAUAACGUCGCAAGACCAAAGAGGGGGACCUUCGGGCCUCUUGCCAUCAGAUGUGCCCAGAUGGGAUUAGCUUGUUGGUGAGGUAACGGCUCACCAAGGCGACGAUCCCUAGCUGGUCUGAGAGGAUGACCAGCCACACUGGAACUGAGACACGGUCCAGACUCCUACGGGAGGCAGCAGUGGGGAAUAUUGCACAAUGGGCGCAAGCCUGAUGCAGCCAUGCCGCGUGUAUGAAGAAGGCCUUCGGGUUGUAAAGUACUUUCAGCGGGGAGGAAGGUGUUGUGGUUAAUAACCGCAGCAAUUGACGUUACCCGCAGAAGAAGCACCGGCUAACUCCGUGCCAGCAGCCGCGGUAAUACGGAGGGUGCAAGCGUUAAUCGGAAUUACUGGGCGUAAAGCGCACGCAGGCGGUCUGUCAAGUCGGAUGUGAAAUCCCCGGGCUCAACCUGGGAACUGCAUUCGAAACUGGCAGGCUUGAGUCUUGUAGAGGGGGGUAGAAUUCCAGGUGUAGCGGUGAAAUGCGUAGAGAUCUGGAGGAAUACCGGUGGCGAAGGCGGCCCCCUGGACAAAGACUGACGCUCAGGUGCGAAAGCGUGGGGAGCAAACAGGAUUAGAUACCCUGGUAGUCCACGCCGUAAACGAUGUCUACUUGGAGGUUGUGCCCUUGAGGCGUGGCUUCCGGAGCUAACGCGUUAAGUAGACCGCCUGGGGAGUACGGCCGCAAGGUUAAAACUCAAAUGAAUUGACGGGGGCCCGCACAAGCGGUGGAGCAUGUGGUUUAAUUCGAUGCAACGCGAAGAACCUUACCUGGUCUUGACAUCCACAGAAGAAUCCAGAGAUGGAUUUGUGCCUUCGGGAACUGUGAGACAGGUGCUGCAUGGCUGUCGUCAGCUCGUGUUGUGAAAUGUUGGGUUAAGUCCCGCAACGAGCGCAACCCUUAUCCUUUGUUGCCAGCGAUUAGGUCGGGAACUCAAAGGAGACU